ensembl:rRNA 5S_rRNA 5S ribosomal RNA
AUCUAUGGCCAUAACACCCUAAACGCGCCCUAUCUAGUCUGAUCUUGGAAGCUAAGCAGGGUCGGGCCUGGUUAGUACUUGGAUGGGAGACCACCUGGGAAUACCGGGUGCUGUAGGAU